GGCUUCGUAGCUCAGCUGGUAGAGCAUGCGCGUACAAAGCGUAGGCGGCGUCCAUGCGUGGGUUCGAAUCCCACCGAGGCUA
rnacentral:tRNA from 1 species